AAGAAAGACAAACAGACAGAUAUACAGACAGAAAGGCAGAUGACAAACUGGGCAGACAGACAGACAGACAGACAGGCAGGCAGAUGACACACAAACAGACAAACAGACAUUGACAAACAAACAGGCAAACUGACAAACACACACAUGAUUACUGUUAUUGAUGAUUUCAGGUUGUGUCCUGCAUUCUCUCGUACAGAAAGUGGCACAGCAUCUGACAAACAUUUCAAUUGACGCCAAUUGACUGUAUAGCCAAACUGAUCGCUGGCCAGAGCAAACGGCGACUGUUUCAUUGUAUUUCCUCCAUGGAUACUCGAGCUCUGAUCUAUGGAUGUCGAACUGCACACUAAAUGAGAUCAUAAAGGCGUAGAAACUUGCCGACUACACAUAGUAGUCAUUGGUGUUCGGGAUCGUAUUCAUGAAAGAUGAAACUCGAUUUUAAUUAGCUAAGCAUCCUGUUGUACAGUAAAUCACUUGUUGCGCAAUUGGUGAGAUCAGAGAUCACGUGUCAGUGCGCAACCCACAUCCAAUCAGAAUGGCGCGUAGAAAUAGCGGGAAGUCUGAAGAUGAAGCACGCCCAGUCGAUUCGAAAGUCGUUUGAUUCACGCACGACAUGUCAGCCAGAGCGUCGUCGACAAAGAUCACCGAUAUUCGGCAACUUGAUAACGGUGACCACGUUAAAGUGAAUUUUCUGAGCUCUGUAAACGGUAGCUUGGCAUCAUUGUAUCAUCAUGGUAUAUACAAUGAUGGGUGUGUGUAUCAUUUUUCCGGUGACACUAAACGAGAUGCGAGUUUGAAGAAAUCUACAAUUGAGGAUUUUCGGAAUGGACGAAGUGACCUACGUCGUAUCAAUUAUAAUAGACAGUCAUGUUACGAUUCUCAACAAGUUGUGGAGAGAGCCGAGGAGCUAGUUCGAAAUGGGGCAUGGCCAGGAUACCAGCCGCUCACCAAUAACUGUGAGCACUUUGCAACAUACUGUAAGACAGGGAUUGCCUACUCCAGUCAAGUCAACGACAUCUUUAAUAUUAAAUCUCUCGAUAUCAUUAGUAUUAUUAUUAUUAAAUCUCUUGAUAUCAUUAGUAUUAUGAUUAUUAGUUUACUUAUUAUUAUUCUAUUUGCCAUGGUGUUCUUCCAUGGCUAUGGGUUUACUAUAGUUAGUAAUCCCAACAAUCUUUUUACAAGGAUGAAUUCAGUCUAGACUUGAUGAUUCGCCAUUUAUGUGAACAUAUAAUAAAAUAGUUGAACAAAAAUGACUAGUAUGUUUAGUGGUUUUUAUGUUGUCUGUA